GGAGACCAAAAAUAUACAUGAAAUUUGAAUCAAAAUAAGAAGAAGGAAGAAGUCAGCAGCAGUAAACAGUAGCCAACAGCAAGCAAGCUACAACCAGCAGGUGCUUUGCACUAAUUUUAACCCAGAAAUGAUAUCUCAAUAAACCAGCGGUUAAUUUCAAAUGAAAAACAUCAGUGAACACCCAAAGCUAGCUCAAAUGAACUUAUUCAAACUGGAAAUUGAAUUUCAGCAUCUAAAGCUUCGAGAUAACUCUACAAAUUCAAUGGAACAGUUGAUUUUUGGGAGUUUUUAGGCUAUCUGAAGAUUUCAGUAUAUUUCCAGUGCUUCCUUUCUUUUUC
rnacentral:lncRNA from 1 species